rnacentral:rRNA from 1 species
UGGGGAAUUUUGGACAAUGGGGGAAACCCUGAUCCAGCCAUCCCGCGUGUGCGAUGAAGGCCUUCGGGUUGUAAAGCACUUUUGGCAGGAAAGAAACGUCAUGGGUUAAUACCCCGUGAAACUGACGGUACCUGCAGAAUAAGCACCGGCUAACUACGUGCCAGCAGCCGCGGUAAUACGUAGGGUGCAAGCGUUAAUCGGAAUUACUGGGCGUAAAGCGUGCGCAGGCGGUUCGGAAAGAAAGAUGUGAAAUCCCAGAGCUCAACUUUGGAACUGCAUUUUUAACUACCAGGCUAGAGUGUAUCAGAGGGAGGUGGAAAUCCGCGUGUAGCAGUGAAAUGCGUAGAUAUGCGGAGGAACACCGAUGGCGAAGGCAGCCUCCUGGGAUAACACUGACACUCAUGCACGAAAGCGUGGGGAGCAAACUGG